CCUACUGGUGGCAGCAGUCGGGAAUAUUGCGCCAUGGAGGAAACUCUGACGCAGUGACGCCGCGUGCAGGAAGAAGGUUUUCGGAUUGUAAACUGCUUUAGACAGGGAAGAAAAAAGACAGUACCUGUAGAAUAAGCUCCGGCUAACUACGUGCCAGCAGCCGCGGUAAUACGUAGGGAGCAAGCGUUAUCCGGAUUUACUGGGGGUAAAGGGAGCGUAGACGGCGUGCCAAGUCUGAUGUGAAAGGCCGGGGCUCAACCCCGGGACUGCAUUGGAAACUGGCAUGCUGGAGUGCCGGAGGGGCAAGCGGAAUGCCUAGGGUAGCGGUGAAAUGCGUAGAUAUUAGGAGGAACACCGGUGGCGAAGGCGGCUUGCUGGACGGUAACUGACGUUGAGGCUCGAAAGCGUGGGGAGCAAACAGGAUUAGAUACCCGUGUAGUC
rnacentral:rRNA from 1 species